AAGGUAUUGAACCAGGAAUAUGGAAUAUUAAAAUGGGAAAGUGCAAAUAGUGACAACAUAUUGCAAGCUAUAAGAAAUAAUUAUCUGGUUCUGGGUUUUGGUGAUGAUGCUUUGAAUCUUUUUGUUCAUAAUCCUUGUGAGGUUGCAAAGAUUGCUGAAGAUCCUUAUCUUCCUCAACAGAUUGGAAUUUACCUGCAGAAAAAUUCACAAUUUACAACCCUAUUCCAGAAACAACUCAGUGUUCUUCAAGAGACAGGAGUUGUAAACACAAUAGGAAAAAAC